UUAANUUCGGGGUGGCAGGCGAUACGGGCAUAACUAGAGUGCUGUAGGGGAGACUGGAAUUCCUGGUGUAGCGGUGGAAUGCGCAGAUAUCAGGAGGAACACCGAUGGCGAAGGCAGGUCUCUGGGCAGUAACUGACGCUGAGGAGCGAAAGCAUGGGGAGCGAACAGGAUUAGAUACCCUGGUAGUCCAUGCUGUAAACGGUGGGCGUUAGGUGUGGGGACCGGUUUGGUUUCUGUGCCGUAGCUAACGCAUUAAGCGCCCCGCCUGGGGAGUACGGCCGCAAGGCUAAAACUCAAAGGAAUUGACGGGGGCCCGCACAAGCGGCGGAGCAUGUGGAUUAAUUCGAUGCAACGCGAAGAACCUUACCUGGGUUUGACAUGCACCAGACGGUUGUAGAGAUACGUACCUCCCUUUGUGGUUGGUGUGCAGGUGGUGCAUGGUUGUCGUCAGCUCGUGUCGUGAGAUGUUGGGUUAAGUCCCGCAACGAGCGCAACCCUUGUCUUAUGUUGCCAGCACCUUGGGUGGGGACUCAUGAGAGACUGCCGGGGUUAACUCGGAGGAAGGUGGGGAUGACGUCAAAUCAUCAUGCCCUUUAUGCCCAGGGCUUCACACAUGCUACAAUGGUUAGUACAACGCGCUGCGAACCUGUGAGGGUGAGCGAAUCGCUGAAAGCUAAUCUCAGUUCGGAUUGGGGUCUGCAACUCGACCCCAUGAAGUCGGAGUCGCUAGUAAUCGCAGGUCAGCAAUGCUGCGGUGAAUACGUUCCCGGGCCUUGUACACACCGCCCGUCACGUCAUGAAAGUUGGUAACACCCGAAGCCCAUGGCCUAACCACCAU
rnacentral:rRNA from 1 species